rnacentral:rRNA from 1 species
GUAGGUGCAAGCGUUGUCCGAAUUAUUGGGCGUAAAGCGCGCGCAGGCGGUCCUUUAAGUCUGAUGUGAAAGCCCACGGGCUCAACCGUGGAGGGUCAUUGGAAACUGGGGGACUUGAGUACAGAAGAGGAAAGCGGAAUUCCAAGUGUAGCGGUGAAAUGCGUAGAGAUUUGGAGGAACACCAGUGGCGAAGGCGGCUUUCUGGUCUGUAACUGACGCUGAGGCGCGAAAGCGUGGGGAGCAAACAGGAUUAGAUAUCCUGGUAGUCCACGCCGUAAACGAUGAGUGCUAAGUGUUAGGGGGUUUCCGCCCCUUAGUGCUGCAGCUAACGCAUUAAGCACUCCGCCUGGGGAGUACGGCCGCAAAGGCUG